ACAGUGCUGUGUGCAAAAUUGGCUCAGGGAGCUUCUGCACAGACUUAGGGCUGAACACUCUGGAAAUGGAGCCAUCCUGAGGUAUCUCCACUGUCAUUGUUCAGGGGCUCCUGACAGCCUAUGGGAGAUUAAGUAUCAUCUUGCUUGACAAUGAUACUUUAAAGAAGAAUCUUAAAGCAUCUUGAGCAAGAGACAAAGAAAAGGUUAUGCUUCCAUGUCUUGUUUGAUCUGAACAUCCUAGUCUGUCCUGAACCUGGUAACACCUUGCUUGUCAGUCUUCUGGAUCUUGAUUACUUUGUCUUGACUGUGGCUCUUUUGCCUACUGCCUGAUGAUGAAGAAAAACCACCUAUACUGUAUGUAUUUAUGGUUGCCAAUGUCUAAAACAACGUAUGUAAUAUGCCUAACUUUAUAGCAUAUUUUAUGGUAUUAAUGACCAGUAAAGCCCACUUUCAGAAGGCUUUGCAUUGUGAAUCUGUAUUAUGGAUGCAGAGAAAACAAUAUUAGUUGGAUCCAACAUUUAGACUGCAGAAGUUGGUUUAUUGAAGCUUCAUAAUUAUAAAAUACAUUUCCUGAUAACCUGGGUACUUUAGUAGUAACUAACAGGUUGGCAUUAUAAAAAUGGCACAAUUAAUUUAUAGAAAUAAACAUUUUACAUGCUACUUUAUUAUUGUUAGGAUGCUGAUUCCAUUGGCCCCAAUAUAUGUAUACAGAUGCUGAAACCAAACAAACGUUGGAUGAGCUAAAGUGGGCUUCUGAUCUGAAGAUAUAAUCACAGAGAUUUAUACAGAAAAACAGUUUCCAAGUUUUUAAGACAUAUUUGGAUUUAUGAUAAGUUAUCCAGCAUGAAAUUAUGCUGAGAGUUUAUUGACUCUUGAGUUACUCUAUUGAUCACGAAUUAUGAAUUAUAAUGUGUCAGGAACAUGUUCCAUUACAAAUUGACACUUAUGUGUUGUGGGCCUCCCCUAUAAUUAUUUCUUCUUCGGGUUUAAGAAUGUCAGAGAUUGUAUAUUGGCAAUUUUGUCUCAUUCAAUGACCUCACGCUUGUAAUUAAGAUCCUUAGUUUCACAAGAUAAUCUGCCAAGAAUUGAAAGCUUCAGGGUUCUAGAACAGCAUUCAUGACUCUUGUGGGGAAAAUGCCCACUUAAAGUUGGAACAAAUGUAACUGGAGAUAGAUACAACAUACUGCAGGCUCCUUUUCAAGAAUGCAGAAGAGACCCAAAGCCUACAAGGUUACAGAUUAUAUACCCUGUGAAAUGCUACAUAGGAUUCACAAAGGCAAAGUAAAUUAUAGCAUGACCUUUCCAGCCAGAACGUAAUAUCUGAUAAGGCUCUGCAUUCUACAUUUCUAAGGAGGCUCCACCGCCGACCCUUUCAGCUGAUAAAAGCGCCUUUUAGCAUGAACAAUGUCCUUUAUUUUUCCCAUAUGUUGACACCUUUCACACCAAAGAAAAGACAACCACCUGGUUUUUGUUAUCUGUCACCUUCCCCUCUAGGGUCAUCAGGCAAUUUCAGUUUCCCUGCUCCUUCUGAUGUGUGAUUCAAAAUCCCUCAGAGUGACCGUGUACAGGUAGUUAUUACGUUGUGCCCUUUAAACUUCAAAACACAAAACAACUCUGAGAUAACCAGAUUCUCCGACAUCCAGAUUCUCCUGCAACAGUCGCUUCCGACUCCUCGUGACUUCAUGGACCAGCCCACGCCAGAGCUUCCUGUCGGUCGUCAACGCCCCCAGCUCCCCCAGGGACGAGUCCGUCACCUCUAGAAUAUCAUCCAUCCACCUUGCCCUUGGUUGGCCCCUCUUCCUUUUGCCUUCCACUCUCCCUAGCAUCAGCAUCUUCUCCAGGGUGUCCUGUCUUCUCAAUAUGUGGCCAAAGUAUUUCAGUUUUGCCUUUAAUAUCAUUCCCUCAAGUGAGCAGUCUGGCUUGAUUUCCUGGAGGAUGGACUGGUUGGAUCUUCUUGCAAUCCAAGGCACUCUCAGAAUUUCUCCAACACCACAGUUCAAAAGCAUCAAUCUUCCUUUUCUCAGCCUUCCUUAUGGUCCAGCUCUCGCAGCCAUAUGUUACUACUGGGAAUACCCUUGCUUUGACUAUGCGGACCUAGAUAAUUCCACCUAAAACUUAGUUUUAACUUAACCCCUUAUGUAACAACCCUCAGAAACUGAAGUAGUGAAUAUAAAUUUGUUUGCCAAUUCCAACAGACUCUCUCUCUCUCUCUCUCUCUCUCUCUCUCCCAUACACACUCACCUCAAAUUUUAAAAUAAAAGUGGCUUCUGAGAUCUUUUCAGCUUUCUUGUCUAGGCUACAGACCUGGGAUAUCCAGCUGGUUUUCUGUCCAGGAACUAACAUGGCAUGACCUUGCUAAGCUACCAAGGGCAUUCCCAGACAACAUUUUUGCAGAGACUUCCCUCAAAGCACAAAUGUACAGGAAGCCAGGGAAACCCUGUAAAAAAACUCUGUUGACCCUUCUAGAGAGAGCAGAUGCUUUAACACUUGCUACACAUUUUGUGAAAUGCCCAUUUUGAAUCCAGUGCAGAGGCCUACAAAACACUGAUGGAAGGCAUCACAUUUCCUGGAAUAAUUUCCCCAGAAGCAAUACACCCAAAGGUGCAUCUUUGGUUAGUAGUCCAGUCUGCACAUGUGUGUUAUUUUGCUUUUUUCCCCCUCAUUUAUUUUUUGCAACAAAGAAAAAAAGGAAGAAAGAUAUUAAAAGCUGUGGGGAAAAUUUGGCAGAAUUACAGGGGGGAGGUCCAUAAAAUGUUGUGGAUGAAUUGGAAGACUGCACAGUAAAAGAUCCUCGAAGCUGAUUUCAUGAAGCACUUCCAUGCAAACAUUUGACUUUACAUAGAGCACUGCUGUAGAGAAAUAAAAAAUAGCUCAUUCUCUUAACCUUACUUGGAAUUUCUAAAUGUGCGAUUGUACUUUAGACUGAGUGCAGAAUGUUAAAAGUACGAAAUUACAUUUAUUUAGCUUUUUAAAAAUACUUCUGCAAAAUUAAGCCUCUUUAACUCCACAGCCCCAAGUUUAUAUGUGGUUUUUCCCCUAUAAAAACUUUUAAUAUUUUAACUUGCUAUUUAGCUCAGCAUCACUCUACUCAAGAUUUAUUUAAGUACACCACUGAAUUCAUAAUAUGCGAAAUGGCCCAAUGUUGAUAACAGUUACUCAGAAGCAAGUGCUGUUGAUUUCAGGAGAUUCUUUUUUCCAGAAAAAAAAAAAUCUUUGAAUUGCAGCCAAAGGCUUGUGUUUUAAUUGUUUAGCAAUUGUUUUUUAAAAACAAGUCUCUUUAAGAGUUUGGUAUCCAGUAAUUAGCACAACAAAUUUAUGCUAUGUUUACUUAUAGGUGCAUGACAAAUAAAAUAACUACUACUACUGCUUGUUAAAAUUGGAAGAAUGUAUAAUACCAUAAUUAAGGCUGGACACUUUCAAAGGCAGCUUCAUGGCAUAUAUUCUUCUUAAUUUGCUACACAUUAUGUAAACAGGAGCAUAUGGUGUUGAUUUUGUACACAAUCAUUCCCACCACCAACUAGGAUUUGUUUGGCAAUGAGUUGUAUUUAAUACUUCUGCAUCUGCAUCUGCAAAUUUAAUGGUUAGGGCUUCAGAAGGAAAACAGGGUUAAAUAGCUGGUUGUUUCACUUGUAUUUAAAUAAGAAUUAAACAUGAUGAGCUAAAGGCUAAUGAUGCUGAAGAUCAGGUAUGGAAAUCUGGGCUCAAAAGUUAAUGGCUGGAUUUCAGUGUAUGUCAGACACUGAUGUGUUUUGAGAUAGGAUUCUAUGGGAGCUGAUAAAGAUUUUAAAUAAAUAAAUGUACUCUUCCUAGACUGAGUUAAUAGACUUCGCAUGAGUACCAGUUCUUCCCAAGUCUGGUGGGUAGCAAAGAGGGUUAGGGUUUUUAAUCCUGAGUUUUGGGAGACACUGUUUGAUCAACAGGAAGAGAUCUUCUCCUCUUUCAGAGGACAGUGACUGUUAUAGACAUUGAAAAAUAGUGGAAUCAAAGGAUACUGCAUUAUUUACAUCUGCCUCUGAACUAGCAAUUGUCCUUGUGGGAUAGGGUGGGGAAUCGUAUCACAAAAUGACAGCCCCCCCCCCCCCAAAAAAAGACAAGAGGCUUUCUGUCUUGCAAAACAUUCAUAAGGCAUAGAAUUUUGACCUGUUGGAUCAUGGAACAGUCAAAGUUCUGAGUGGAACUUUUGGUUUUUUUUAAUUUUUUUUUAGCAUGGUACAGAUUUUUCUUUGUUUGUUGCUGGCAUUUUGUGACACCUGAUUGGAUAGACUAAAAUUUUACAUUAUAACAGGUAGCAAAGAAACAAUAAACCUUAAUAUAGCCAUAGACCAGAAUUCAGACAAAACAAACAUAAAACAGUAAUAGUAUCAGCACGUAGUGCUUCCUAUCCUGUAGAACUAACACUGAUAUAGUGUGCCCUUAUUGGUAAAGAACAAAAUUUUGCAAUUAGGUAGCUAACUUUAUAAACGCUUGUCUAGCUAAAAAGUAAUUUACAUAAAAUUCAUGUUUCUGCCAGGCUUGCGUUUAUUUAUCUAUUUAUUUUUAA